rnacentral:lncRNA from 1 species
CCGCCGGCAGGGUUUAAAUCUGCCCCUUCAGAGGAGGUGCUUAAAUGCCGAGCAGGCGUUUACCGUUGGUAACCCCCUGGUAUUGUUCAAAUGACACCUGCCCCUGCCUCUUCUGGAGAUCUUCUGCUGUGGCUUCGCUCUCUGCAUGGCUGGAAGGUUCCCACAUGGAUUCUGAGGAAGCUGCAAUGUGAGGGCCCACGAGUGAGCAGAUUAGUUAUCAGCCGCUAUUCCAGUCCUACCUGAGAUGGAGCUGAGAAGAUUCUCCAGAUAUUUUUCUACUGGCACUGUGCGCUUUGUGCGGGAGGUAUCUGAGGAGGUGUGAGAAGCUGUAGACAUCCCAGAAGAAAGCAAAAGAAGCUUCAGGACCCCUGAAAUGAUAGAGCUGGAGUGUUCCCCAAAUAUUCUUUGGGCCUGCUGAUGGUAAGGUUCAUAAGCCGAAAGUAUUUAAAACUUGCCCCAGUAUAUAUGAUGUAUGUGUCCCUCUUAUUGCUCAUAGACUUAAGCCUGUAAGUUGUAG